rnacentral:rRNA from 1 species
UAGGGAAUCUUCGGCAAUGGGGGGAACCCUGACCGAGCAACGCCGCGUGAGUGAAGAAGGUUUUCGGAUCGUAAAGCUCUGUUGUUAAGGAAGAACGAGUGUGAGAAUGGAAAGUUCAUGCUGUGACGGUACUUAACCAGAAAGGGACGGCUAACUACGUGCCAGCAGCCGCGGUAAUACGUAGGUCCCGAGCGUUGUCCGGAAUUAUUGGGCGUAAAGCGCGCGUAGGCGGUUUUUUAAGUCUGAUGUGAAAGCCCACGGCUCAACCGUGGAGGGUCAUUGGAAACUGGAAAACUUGAGUGCAGAAGAGGAAAGUGGAAUUCCAUGUGUAGCGGUGAAAUGCGUAGAUAUAUGGAGGAACACCAGUGGCGAAGGCGACUCUCUGGUCUGUAACUGACGCUGAGGCUCGAAAGCGUGGGUAGCAAACAGG